rnacentral:rRNA from 1 species
AGUGAACGCUGGCGGUAGGCCUAACACAUGCAAGUCGAACGGCAGCACAGUAAGAGCUUGCUCUUACGGGUGGCGAGUGGCGGACGGGUGAGGAAUACGUCGGAAUCUACUUUUUCGUGGGGGAUAACGUAGGGAAACUUACGCUAAUACCGCAUACGACCUACGGGUGAAAGCAGGUGAUCUUCUGACCUUGCGCUAUUGAAUGAGCCGAUGUCGGAUUAGCUAGUUGGCGGGGUAAAGGCCCACCAAGGCGACGAUCCGUAGCUGGUCUGAGAGGAUGAUCAGCCACACUGGAACUGAGACACGGUCCAGACUCCUACGGGAGGCAGCAGUGGGGAAUAUUGGACAAUGGGCGCAAGCCUGAUCCAGCCAUACCGCGUAGGUGAAGAAGGCCUUCGGGUUGUAAAGCCCUUUUGUUGGGAACGAAAAGCAGCAGGUUAAUACCCCGCUGUUCUGACGGUACCCAAAGAAUAAGCACCGGCUAGCUUCGUG